rnacentral:tRNA from 1 species
AGUCAUGUGGUAUAGUGGUAAAUACGUCCACGUGACACGUGGGAGACGUCGGUUCGAAUCCGACCAUGACUC